GGUAGUGUGGCUGAGUGGUCUAAGGCGCUGGAUUACAGCUCCUGUCUCUUUGGGGGUGUGGGUUUGAAUCCCACCGCUGUCA